UAUAGAGGUGGUAUAAAUCUGGAGGUUCUGCAAAGUCUUCCCAGAGGUGAAGUAUUCUGGCUAAUCUGGAACACUGGCUGGAUAAUGGAGAAGAGCAAUCUAGGCACUGUUGCCACUGGGCAGAAUGACAUGGCGGCCAUGGCCUCUUCAUAAUCUCUUGUUGUGAUCUAUUACUGGGACAGAAGGAAGAUGAAAACAUUUACUUCGGAAUGUUUACCACUGUUCAAUUCUAUUUUUCCUUUGAUUUUCUCUUCUCAGUCAUAAGUGGAAAUUGAAGGGAUUCAUUCAAAGGUAAAAUUCUGAGGUUUUGGAGGAAGAAGUUGGCCCAUAGAAGAAUCAUCCAGUUAGAACCCUAAGAUCAUUAUUUGGGGCAUCUAAUUAUUAAUGUGGGAUGCUUUAUAAAGUGUGUAUGGGGGUCUUAAAAGAUAAAGCCUGUGCCUUUCUCAGUGAAUUCUUAAAUUUUCCCUUCCUUCUGCAUUUUGAAUUUGCACCAAGAAAAUGGAACAACAUUGUAUGUUUCCGGCGAAGAUAAAAACAUCUGUUGAAUAUCUUGAGUCUAGAAAAUAACAUUGAGAAAAAUAGUGGUUGAGGACCAAUUCCUCAUCCUGAAGUUUACAAUAUAAUGAAAAAAAAAGGAAAUGUACAAUUUUAAUAAAAAUGC
rnacentral:antisense_RNA from 1 species